AAGAAAAAUCAAAUUAUGGUUCACAUGCAAAGACUUAGCACCAAUCUGUAACUAUAGUAUAAUUGCAGUUACAUAUUUCUGUUAGGUUCUUGCGGAAAGACUUGGCAUCACAUCAUUAGAU
rnacentral:precursor_RNA from 11 species